AAAGAUGGUGAACUAUGCCUGAAUAGGGUGAAGCCAGAGGAGACUCUGGUGGAAGCUCGUAGCGGUUCUGACGUGCAAAUCGAUCGUCAAAUUUGGGUAUAGGGGCGAAAGACUAAUCGAACCAUCUAGUAGCUGGUUCCCUCCGAAGUUUCCCUCAGGAUAGCUGGAGCCCGGAUUAUGUGUGUAGUUUUAUCAGGUAAAGCGAAUGAUUAGAGGUAUUGGGGUUGAAACGACCUCAACCUAUUCUCAAACUUUAAAUGGGUAAGAGGCACAGCUUACUUAAGUGAAGGUGUGCGUUUUGAAAAAAUAUAUGUGAAUACAGGGGCUCUUAGUGGGCCAUUUUUGGUAAGCAGAACUGGCGAUGCGGGAUGAACCGAACGCUGGGUUAAGGUGCCCAAGUCAACGCUCAUGAGAUCCCAGGAAAGGUGUUAGUUGAUACAGACAGCAGGACGGUGGCCAUGGAAGUCGGAAUCCGCUAAGGAGUGUGUAACAACUCACCUGCCGAAUCAACUAGCCCUGAAAAUGGAUGGCGCUCAAGCGUUGCACCUAUCCCCGGCCGCCGUGUGGAGUAGGCCAGUGUUGGUGACACGGCGUGUAGGAGGGCGCGGGGCUGUGUGUGUGUAUGCUGUGCAGGCUGGUGCGUGAGCCCAGCUGAAGCCGGCCCUGGUGCAGAUCUUGGUGGUAGUAGCAAUUAUUCAAAUGAGAACUUUGAAGGCCGAAGUGGAGAAGGGUUCCACGUGAACAGCAUUUGGACGUGGGUGAGUCGGUCCUAAAAAUGGGCGAAAGCCUGGUUAGUAGGGU
rnacentral:rRNA from 1 species